UGCGUCCGUAGCUCAGUUGGUUAGAGCACCACCUUGACAUGGUGGGGGUCGGUGGUUCGAGUCCACUCGGACGCACCAG
rnacentral:tRNA from 21 species